rnacentral:tRNA from 1 species
UAGCUCAGUUGGUACAGCAUGGCGCUUGCAAUGCCAGGGUUGUGGGUUCGAUUUCCAC